rnacentral:rRNA from 1 species
CUCGUAGGCGGUUCAGUAAGUCGGGUGUGAAAACUCUGGGCUUAACCCAGAGCCGCCAUCCGAUACUGCUGAACUUGAGUACGGUAGGGGAGUGGGGAAUUCCUGGUGUAGCGGUGAAAUGCGCAGAUAUCAGGAGGAACACCGGUGGCGAAGGCGCCACUCUGGGCCGAAACUGACGCUGAGGAGCGAAAGCGUGGGUAGCAAAC